UAGUCAUAUGCUUGUCCCAAAGAUUAAGCCAUGCAUGUCCAAGUAUAAACAAGUCUAUACUGUGAAACUGCGAAUGGCUCAUUAUAUCAGUUAUAAUUUAUUUGAUAGUCUCUUUACUACUUGGAUAACCGUGGUAAUUCUAGAGCUAAUACAUGCACAAUGCCCGACUGGCUCCGCCGGAAGGGCUGUAUUUAUUAGAUUAAAAACCAAUGCGGGAAACCGCUCAAGGUGAUUCAUAAUAACUCUGCGGAUCGCACGGCCCUGCGCCGGCGACGUUU
rnacentral:rRNA from 1 species